rnacentral:rRNA from 1 species
AUACGGAGGAUGCGAGCGUUAUCCGGAUUUAUUGGGCGUAAAGGGUCCGCAGGCGGUCUGUUUAGUCUGAGGUGAAAGCGUUGAGCUCAACUCAAUUAAGCCUUAGAUACUGGCAGACUAGAGUGCAGAAGAGGGUUAUGGAAUUCCAUGUGUAGCGGUAAAAUGCGUAGAUAUAUGGAGGAACACCAGAGGCGAAGGCGGUAACCUGGUCUGUUACUGACGCUCAGGGACGAAAGCGUGGGGAGCAAAUAGGAUUAGAUACCCUAGUAGUCCACGCCCUAAACGAUGAUUACUAAAUGUUGGGGAAACUCAGUGUUGCAGCUAACGCAAUAAGUAAUCCGCCUGGGGAGUAUGCACGCAAGUGUGAAACUCAAAUGAAUUGACGGGG